rnacentral:miRNA from 1 species
CUCUCUGAUGUGCUCCCUCGCAGGCUGUUUACUGAUGACGUCAUAUUCCGGCUCCCGCGGCAUCAGUAAACAGCCUGCGAGGGAGAACAUCAGAGAGAUC